rnacentral:rRNA from 1 species
UUCCAGCUCCAAUAGCGUAUAUUAAAGUUGUUGCAGUUAAAAAGCUCGUAGUUGAACUUCUUGGCAUCCUUUAAGCUGGCUUCGGUCGUUUCAAGGGUGUCAAUCCGCUAGGGAACUACAUUCGCACUUCACUGUGCGGUGUAAGGAACUGGCAUUUUACUUAGAAAAAAUUAGAGUGUUCAAGGCAGGCUAUCGCCCUGAAUACACAAGCUUGGAAUAAUGAAAUAGGACUAUUUCCAUUUUAUUGGUUAUUGGAUUUAGUAAUGAUUAAUAGGGACAGCUGGGGGCAUUUGUAUUUAAUAGUCAGAGGUGAAAUUCUUGGAUUUAUUAAAGACAAACUUAUGCGAAAGCAUUUGCCAAGGAUGUUUUCAUUG